AGCCUGAUGCAGCCAUGCCGCGUGUGUGAAGAAGGCCUUCGGGUUGUAAAGCACUUUCAGCCGUGAGGAAGGCAUUGUACUUAAUACGUGCAGUGUUUGACGUUAGCGGCAGAAGAAGCACCGGCUAACUCCGUGCCAGCAGCCGCGGUAAUACGGAGGGUGCGAGCGUUAAUCGGAAUUACUGGGCGUAAAGCGCAUGCAGGCGGUCUGUUAAGCAAGAUGUGAAAGCCCCGGGCUUAACCUGGGAACCGCAUUUUGAACUGGCAGGCUAGAGUCUUGUAGAGGGGGGUAGAAUUUCAGGUGUAGCGGUGAAAUGCGUAGAGAUCUGAAGGAAUACCGGUGGCGAAGGCGGCCCCCUGGACAAAGACUGACGCUCAGAUGCGAAAGCGUGGGGAGCAAACAGGAUUAGAUACCCUGGUAGUCCACGCCGUAAACGAUGUCUACUUGGAGGCUGAGUCGAACGGGCUUCGACUAACGCGUUAAUGACCGCCUG
rnacentral:rRNA from 1 species